rnacentral:rRNA from 1 species
UACAGAGGUCCCAAGCGUUGUUCGGAUUCACUGGGCGUAAAGGGUGCGUAGGCGGUCGGGUAAGUCUGAUGUGAAAUCUCACAGCUUAACUGUGAAACUGCAUUGGAUACUAUCCGGCUAGAGGAAUGGAGGGGAGACUGGAAUACUUGGUGUAGCAGUGAAAUGCGUAGAUAUCAAGUGGAACACCAGUGGCGAAGGCGAGUCUCUGGGCCGUAACUGACGCUGAGGAGCGAAAGCAUGGGUAGCGAACAGG